UUCAACGGCCACGGUAUCCUAACCGUGCGAAGGUAGCAUAAUCACUUGUUCUUUAAAUGGGGACUCGUAUCAACGGCACCACGAGGGUUAUACUGUCUCCUUUUUCUAAUCAGUGAAAUUAAUCUCCCCGUGAAGAAGCGGGGAUACCCCUAUAAGACGAGAAGACCCCAUGGAGCUUCAAACCCAACUACACCCCUAGUUUCUAUAACUCUCAACCCCCAGGGCCCUGUACAGUUGGUUUUAGGUUGGGGCGACCACGGAGUACAACAAAACCUCCACAAUGAAUGGGACCACCCCCCAUCUAAGAGCUACAACCCUAAGAAUUAGAACACUAACAUAAAAUGAUCCAUUAUUUGAUCAAUGAACCAAGUUACCCUGGGGAUAACAGCGCAAUCCAUUUCAAGAGCCCCUAUCGACAAAUGGGUUUACGACCUCGAUGUUGGAUCAGGGUGUCCUAGUGGUGCAGCAGCUACUGACGGUUCGUUUGUUCAACGAUUAAAA
rnacentral:rRNA from 1 species